CAGUGGCAACGCUGGUUCGAGCCUCGGCUGGGUCAGUUGGUGUUUCUAUGUGGAGUUUGCAUGUUCUCCCUGCGUUCGAGUGGGUUUCCUCCGGUUGCUUCGACUUCUUCAACAGUCUAAAGACACGCGGAACAGGCACAGCUUUAACACAACAGCAGCCUUUUCAAAGUGGACAGAAUUCUUUGAGAUUCAAUCUAAAGCUAAGUAUUUUGUUUCAGUUGUUUGUACUGCCUUGUAAUACAGUCACAUUUUCAGCAUAAUGUUAAAUCUUAGUCUCAUUCAAGUGUUGUGUUUUUUUUAUGUUUUUACUACCAGAAGACCCAAGAAGAUGUGUUGACUGAGAAAACAAAUGUCCUGCAGUAUUGUUGAGGAAGACAUCUGCCUAACUAUAUAUUGGAGAAGAACAGGUGUUUGGCAUUGCACACCACAGAAUUGCA
rnacentral:lncRNA from 1 species